AGGAGCCGAAGAAGGACGGGACUAACACCGAUAUGCUUUGGGGAGCUGUACGUAAGCGUUGAUCCAGAGAUUUCCGAAUGGGGGAACCCACUAUCUUUAGUCGGAUAGUAUCCUUACGUGAAUACAUAGCGUGAGGAAGGCAGACCCAGGGAACUGAAACAUCUAAGUACCUGGAGGAAGAGAAAGAAAAAUCGAUUUCCUGAGUAGCGGCGAGCGAAACGGAAAGAGCCCAAACCAAGAAGCUUGCUUCUUGGGGUUGUAGGACACUCUAUACGGAGUUACAAAAGAAAGUUAUAAAUGAAGCGGUCUGGAAAGGCCCGCCAAAGACGGUAACAGCCCGGUAGUUGAAAUGGCUUUCCCUCCAGAGUGGAUCCUGAGUACGGCGGAACACGUGAAAUUCCGUCGGAAUCCGGGAGGACCAUCUCCCAAGGCUAAAUACUCCCUAGUGACCGAUAGUGAACCAGUACCGUGAGGGAAAGGUGAAAAGCACCCCGGAAGGGGAGUGAAACAGUUCCUGAAACCGUGUGCCUACAAGUAGUUAGAGCCCGUUAAUGGGUGAUAGCGUGCCUUUUGUAGAAUGAACCGGCGAGUUACGAUUUGUUGCAAGGUUAAGCGGAAAAAGCGGAGCCGUAGCGAAAGCGAGUCUGAAUAGGGCGCAUAAGUAACAGGUCGUAGACCCGAAACCAGGUGAUCUACCCAUGUCCAGGAUGAAGGUAAGGUAAUACUUACUGGAGGUCCGAACCCACGCACGUUGAAAAGUGCGGGGAUGAGGUGUGGGUAGCGGAGAAAUUCCAAUCGAACUUGGAGAUAGCUGGUUCUCUCCGAAAUAGCUUUAGGGCUAGCCUCGAGGUAAAGAGUCAUGGAGGUAGAGCACUGUUUGGACUAGGGGCCCUUCUCGGGUUACCGAAUUCAGAUAAACUCCGAAUGCCAUGUACUUAUACUCGGGAGUCAGACUGCGAGUGAUAAGAUCCGUAGUCGAAAGGGAAACAGCCCAGACCACCAGUUAAGGUCCCCAAAUAUAUGUUAAGUGGAAAAGGAUGUGGGGUUGCUUAGACAACCAGGAUGUUGGCUUAGAAGCAGCCACCAUUGAAAGAGUGCGUAAUAGCUCACUGGUCGAGUGACCCCGCGCCGAAAAUGUACCGGGGCUAAACAUAUU
rnacentral:rRNA from 1 species